AUGGUCGGCAGGUCUGGUAGCAUCUCUGGCUGCUGUUGACUUUGUUUUUGGAGUAAAACACGGUGGAAGCUGAAUUAGUGAGGAUGACUCCUGCUCCUGUCAUCUCUAAGCUCCUCACACAUCUUUACCUGCACAUGAGGAAAAUCACUCCUGUAGAAUGCAGAUGUUCAGAGGGAGAUGAUGCCACAUCUGGUCCAGCUGAUGGAAGGUCUUGAAGUUCUCUGACUGGCCUCGACUGAAGAUGAUCGUCUCACUGGAUUUAAGGUUCAGAUGCUCAGUAACAAACUCCACCAAUGAGCCAACAGGGAAGCUUUAGGUUUAUUAAAUGUUGCUAUGAAGGUUUCGCUGUUUUUCUUUGUGAAUGCAAUGUGCUCCAACUGAAACUUGGAUUAGAACUUAGAAGUAAAUCCUUCCAUCUGAAAGGAUUUAGUUGCAUUAAUAACCUCAUAACAUUCUAAUUUUUAUUCCAGUCUUGGUUGAAAAUAGAAUCUCUGUACUGAUUCAGGUAAAAACUGAACUUCACAGCAUGUUGGAGAAAAACAACCAGAUGAAAACUGUGAUGGUGUUGGAUUGUCAGACCGUAAUGUUGCAGCUCAAAGCAGCUUUUCUAUCUCAGUUCAUUCUGACAUUCAGCUAUGAAUCAACACAGCAGAUGGUGAUCCAUGCUGUGGAAGUCUCACAUCUCCUGAUUUAAUGGAGCUGCUUUGCACUUUUUACACUGUUUAUUCACCAACACUUUAUUUAAUAAAAGUCCCAUCUAGUUUUUAUGAGGAAUGUGAUGUUUUAAUUUCUCUGUGAAUAACUGCAGUCUAAUGCAACAGCUGGAACUGUAACAUCUGUCCUGAUAUUGAUUAUGAAGUAUUGAUCAGAAUACUUAUGGUCAGCAGUCAUCCCUGAAGUUUUAUAUUAAAAUCUUUACCUGUGUUGUGAACUUUGGUAAGAAGCAGAAACUUUAGUGUUGCCAUGGAUACAUGAGUGUUAAAUUCUGUCCAUGUUUCCAUUUUGGGAAAUUCAGUCCAGCAGAUGAGUUUGUUUUUACUGCCAGCUACCAUUCAGUCUGAGAUAUUAAGAAUAAAUAAAUGUGCAUAAUGUGGAAAUGAACAGAUAUUAUUUUUAUUUAUUCCUCCAGCUCCUGCAGGUAAAGUUCCACAAUGUGGAGGAAUUUAGUCUCACAAUCACAGACAAUAAAUAUUAUCUGAAAGUCUGGUUAUUGUUGUUUAUCAGCACAAUACAAAAAGAUUAAUGUUAGACAUAUUCCAGUUAAGAUUCUACAAUAUCAUGAUUUAUGUAAAUUUACCU